ACGUAGGCGGCGAGCGUUAUCCGGAUUCACUGGGCGUAAAGCGCGUGCAGGCGGUUCGGUAAGUUGGACGUGAAAGCUCCCGGCUUAACUGGGAGAGGUCGGGCAAAACUGGCGGACUUGAGGCUGAGAGAGGCGAGCGGAAUUCCCGGUGUAGUGGUGGAAUGCGUAGAUAUCGGGAGGAACACCAGUGGCGAAGGCGGCUCGCUGGCUCAGGCCUGACGCUGAGGGGCGAAAGCGUGGGGAGCGAACGG
rnacentral:rRNA from 1 species